rnacentral:rRNA from 1 species
CCUACGGGAGGCAGCAGUGGGGAAUAUUGCACAAUGGGGGAAACCCUGAUGCAGCAACGCCGCGUGAGUGAGGAAGUAUUUCGGUAUGUAAAGCUCUAUCAGCAGGGAAUAGAAAAGAAGGUACCUGAAAAAGAAGCCCCGGCUAACUACGUGCCAGCAGCCGCGGUAAUACGUAGGGGGCAAGCGUUAUCCGGAUUUACUGGGGAUAAAGGGAGCGUAGACGGAACGGCAAGUCAGAGGUGAAAACCAAAGGCUCAACCAUGGGACGGCUUUUGAAACUGUCAAACUAGAGUACGGGAGAAGUAAGAGGAAUGCGCGGUGUAGCGGUGAAAUGCGUAGAUAUUGGGAAGAACACC